GGCGGCGCUGUCUCCACCCGAGACUCAGUGAAAUUGAAAUCGCUGUGAAGAUGCAGUGUAUCCGCGGCUAGACGGAAAGACCCCGUGAACCUUUACUAUAGCUUUGCACUGGACUUUGAAUUUGCUUGUGUAGGAUAGGUGGGAGGCUUUGAAGCGUGGACGCCAGUUCGCGUGGAGCCAACCUUGAAAUACCACCCUGGCAACUUUGAGGUUCUAACUCAGGUCCGUUA
rnacentral:rRNA from 1 species